GAGUGCUUCUGCAGUGAAUAAGUGUGGUGCCCUUCUACAGCUCCUGCCUGCUGAUUAAACAUUACAUGGAGCCAGAAGUUAUACCGAACCAAUUAUUUUCUCCAAUUCCACUGGAUUUGCAAGAAGACCUUGCAGAAAAAUCGCAUCAGUUUAAACAACAACUUGAAAUUUUCCUCUUUGUUGUGGGGCCUGCAGGAGACACCUAAAGUGCAGUUAAUAUUUCCCUGUGUGAGGCCCCUCAGUUUUGCAGGUAUAUGCUGCUUUGGCAAGGGAGUCAGUAGAAGAUUGGGUACAGAUGAUAGACAAAUUUGUGACUGCACCAUAUAAUCCAGUGCUGCCAAUCAGAUCUGAACAAAAGAAAUAGCAGUUGUCUGACUGUGAAUCAUUUCUUCACCUUGAUUAAUGUGCCCAGCUUGAGACUGUGAUGCUCUGUGGGAAAUAGAGCCCAGGCUGCGGGAUGGCCAACACCUCCACGCUGCCACCCAGAAGCCAUGAUAUGGGUGUAUGCAUCAUCACAUAGACCAUGGAGAUAAACAUCACCUUGGAAGGCUGGACUGACAGCUUCCCUUGUGGCCCCUGAUUGGCCCAGGAAUCCCAAGAGAAGUUCCAGGAAGUGUUUGUGCAACUAGAUGGACUCCUCAGACAGUUGUAGUGAUGGACCUAUCUCUCGGCUUGCUCCUGACCCCAACUUGGAAUCUGGCUUCUGCCCUUGAAACCUGACUCAGAUCCUGACCCUCAGUUUCACUAGUUGAACUCUACCUCUCUCUUUGUCCACUGGCUUCAGUGCUUGGACUCUGGCCCCAUUUUUUGACCCCUGGUUUUGGUGCUUGGACUCAGACACCAGCCUUGACCUCUGGCUUCAGUGCUCGAACCCUGACCUAGGCUUUUGGAUUUGGACACCAGCCCUGACCGCUAAGCCAGACCGCCCAAGCCUUUGUCAUGAUAGCGACUCUAAAGGGAUCUGUUUUGCAGAAAGUGCUGAGCACCUGCCCUCAAAAAACAGACUCCUUUAAAAUGUGUCAGAUUGUGUAUCCAAAAACAGAGGCACUCAAAGUCCUACAGCUACCUGGGUCUCCCAUAUCCCAAGCGACAGCUCUAACCCCAGGACUAGAGAGUCAGUCUCGCUCUCUCUCUCUCUCUGGGCUAGUGAACACUUAAUUAUUUAUACAAAGUGGAACAGCUCCAGCAGGGGAGCUUGAGAGAGAAAAAAGUUUUGUUGAAAAAUUUUCAAUCAGCUCUGUAAAAUCGCCAGUGUGGAAAAUCUUGGCCAUCCUCUUUAAAAAUGAAUCUUCUGGUGAAAGACAUUGUCAGGAAUGGGGCCUUCAGCUGUGCCAAUCUUCAGGCAACCUAUCACGUGCAGCAGGCCUGUAGUACACCACCUGAUUUGUUGGAAGAGUCAGCAGACCAGCUCUUAAGCCCAGCAGCAGCAGCCGUUCAGCGGCUGCUCAGAGCAUUCACCCAUGGCCGCAAUAGCUCCUGAGCCUGCUUGUUCCAGGCCAGCCCUGCUCCUGCCUUGCUCCAGCCUUGCCUCACUUCAGGUAACCCAGUUGUGACCCCCAGCUCUGAUUCCUGAUUUCUGACUCCAGCUCCGACCCUGGGCGCCUAUUUGGCUCCAACCACUAGGCAUGACCGCCCACAUCUCAGUUUCUGAUAGUUUGAGCAGGACAAAACACCAACAAUCAGGGAACUAAAGCUGAUACAGUGAGCAUGUAUUCUACAAAGCCCAAUCUCUCUCUGACGGAGACAGUGGGAACUCUACAGAUGUUGCAGGCCCAGGUUCCCACCCUCCAGGUGCAGAAUGCCGUCCCGCAAGCUCAAGCCACACUACCUUCAGCUCCAACUCUGGCUCCCCACAAACCGAAGCUCCUCCUGCCUGACACAUUUGAUGGCAAUCACACCAAAUUUUGUAGGUUCCUAAAUCAGUAUUAACUCCUAUUUCUGCUAUGCCUGCAGUCGUACCACCCUGGCCAAACCCAAAUGGUAUUGAUUAUCAGUUUACUUACCAGGAAGGCCGUGUUUUGGGCAUCUCUGCUCCUGGAAAAAUCAAUAUCACUUCUGGGACAAUUUGAGGACUUUGUUCUUUCCCUGCUGAGAGGGGCAGCAGGGAAAGGAGCAGAACACCAGCAGCUCCUUCAGUGGCUGUACCGCCCCCCGUCCCGCCCCCCUCUCCCCAGCCCUGUCUUCUGGCAGGGCUGCAGCUGGGAGCCA